CCAGACUCCUACGGGAGGCAGCAGUGGGGAAUAUUGCGCAAUGGACGAAAGUCUGACGCAGCGACGCCGCGUGAGGGAUGAAGGUUUUCGGAUCGUAAACCUCUGUCAGGAGGGAAGAAAGCGCAUGGCGCCAAUCAGCCAUGCGUUGACGGUACCUCCAAAGGAAGCGCCGGCUAACUCCGUGCCAGCAGCCGCGGUAAUACGGAGGGCGCGAGCGUUAUCCGGAUUUAUUGGGUUUAAAGGGUGCGCAGGCGGCGUGUCAAGCAAGCGGUAAAAUAGCGGGGCUCAACCCCGUCGAGCCGUUUGAACUGGCGCGCUUGAGUUCAGGCGAGGUAGGCGGAAUUCGUGGUGUAGCGGUGAAAUGCAUAGAUAUCACGAAGAACUCCGAUUGCGAAGGCAGCUUACCAGUCUGCGACUGACGCUCAGGCACGAAAGUGUGGGUAUCGAACAGGAUUAGAUACCCGGGUA
rnacentral:rRNA from 1 species